AAUAGAAUAUCUAAAUACUGUAUUGGGAUUCCACGUUUCACGCCACUAAAUACAGUGCAAAUCUUCUGCGUUGUUUCCACCUCUCUCUCGAGAAAAGUUUCUCUCUCUAGAUUUACAGAAAUCGCAGAAAAAGAAUGGAGUCGUAUUCGCCUCAGACAAUUGAGCUUUUGAAGAAUGAGAUUCCGGUGGAUCAGGAGUCUCUUCUUCUUUCCGGUGAUGUAAAAACCGGUUUAGUUCUUGUUGACAUCGUUAAUGGUUUCUGCACAGUUGGUUCCGGAAAUCUGGCUCCACAAGCUCUAGAUGAACAAAUUUCUGGAAUGGUUGAUGAGUCAGUGAAGCUUGCCAAAAUGUUCUGUGAGAAGAAAUGGCCUAUAUAUGCUUUACUUGAUACUCAUCAUCCAGAUAUUCCUGAGCCUCCAUAUCCCCCUCACUGUUUAGCUGGAACUGAUGAGUCAAAAUUGGUUCCCGCCUUGCAGUGGUUGGAAAAUGAACCCAAUGCAACACUAAGGUGCAAGGGAUGUAUUGAUGGGUUUAUAGGUUCAUUUGAGAAAGAUGGAUCCAAUGUCUUCGUGGAUUGGGUGAAAGCCAACGAGAUCAGAGCCAUGCUGGUUGUAGGGAUAUGCACAGACAUUUGUGUGCUUGAUUUCGUCUGUUCGGCACUUUCUGCAAGAAAUCGCGGUUUUCUCGCUCCAUUGGACGAUGUGAUCGUUUAUUCUCGUGGUUGCGCUACUUUCGAUUUUCCAGUUCAUGUCGCCAGAAAUAUCAAAGAUGCUUUAGCUUAUCCACAGCAUGAAACAAAUAGUUUGGUUUUUCUUCUUUCGGCUCCUUCCUGACGCACAUAAAAGAACAAGGAAUAAACCAUUUGUACCGAGGGGGUGUACCGAACCGUUUACACCCCCCUCACAAACAUGCGGGCCCCAUAUGUUAUUUAAUAAUCCGAACCGAGGUCCCACCCAAAUGAUGAACUGAUGCAUCAUAUAGGACUUUACAUGGCCAAAGGCAGAGGAGCCAAGGUGGUUUCUGAAGUCUCGUUUGUUA